CUCUCUCAGUCUGUUGUUUGUGUACAGGAAUGCUAUUGAUCAGGUUCUAGGAUUUAUUAUUAAAUUCAAACUUUACAGAAAUCCUAAGUGGCAUAGAUAUCUAUAUUCUUAUGUCCCUUAUGCAGAAAAACAAAGAUAACUGAGGUUCAGUCAGGAUAAGGGUUUGUUUGAAGUCACAGAUAAGUGAAAGGCAGAACCAGUUUAAUCUCCAACCCCAAGCUUGAGCUUGUAACUAGCAGGUCACACAAGUUCCAGCUGCAAAGGCUUGGGACCUACAGCGGUGAGCUCUGAUAGGAGAGCUGCUGUUGGUCUCUGGGACAGUUCCAUUCACUUUAUAGUGGCUGACUUGACUUAUGAAAUGAUAUUUUGAAAAGAAUAUAAGUUCAAAACUACUAUGCAUUUUAGGUGUAUGAUCUUAUGUUCUCUUUGUUGGCCUCUUGCCCUCCCUUUUUUCUUCUUCCCUUUCUUCUUCCUUCCUUCCACUAUGGAAUGAGUGUUGUUAUGAUUUGAAUAUGGUUUGUCCUCCUUAAAAUUCAUGUUGAAAUUUGAUUAUCAUUGUAGCAGUGUCAAGAGGAGCAUUUAAGAGGUGAUAGCAUCAUGAGAAUUUAUAGUCCUGGGAGCAGUUAUCAGAAAGUGAAGCCACCCCUCAUGUUUUGUCUGUUCCACACAUGUUCACUUGCCAUUCUGAUUCGCUGUGACCUCAUUUCACAGCACAAGGCAUUUGCCAGAAACUAUGUAGGUGCUAACACCAUUCUUUAAAAUGUCCCAGUUCUGGCUGCCGGGAAAAUGGUGGACCGAAAGGUGGGACAGGAGAAGCCUGAGAAGUCAAGCGAGCUGGAGCCAUCGGAGUAAUGGAGGGGAAAGUUCCAGUCACAGUGCUGAGAAGCUAUCAGCUGAAGAGGAAGCUGCAGGCCUCCAAUAAAGUCUACAAAGAUCUCCAAGUUUGGAUUUGCCAUAGGUAAAUGAUAACAAAGAAAGCAUCAGCUUAGAUAACAAAGAAAGCAUCAGCUAUAUCCAAGAAAUAAACCUAAAGAAACUGGUCCAACUCUUGCUCCAAAAAACCUUUCAGUACCAGCAGCUUUUAAUGAAGAUGAAGAUAGUGAACCAGAGGAAAUGUCUCCAGAAGCAAAGAUGAGGAUGAAGAAUAUUGCCAGGGACACACCAACGUCAUAGACCAAACUCUUUCAAUAAAGAAAGCAUAGGUUUUCUGUUAACCAGAAGCUAUGGGAAUAAAAUAUAAACUCUCAUCUUGGAAAUGUCCAUGACCAAGACAAUUAAAUGAUGUGUUUUGAACUAAGGUGUAGGGUGGGUGUAAAGUUAAAAGAAACAGUUUCAUUUUUUUAAAGAAUAGUAUAAGACUAUCUUUGGAACUGCUUUUUCUUUUUCUUUUUCAUUUUUUUUUUUAAGAUUGAGUGGUACAUGAAUAAGUGAGAGUUUGAAAUUAAAGAAGAAAUUAACCUUCAUCUGUUGGCUAUCAUGAUGAAAAGAAUUGGCACAGCUGCACAUCGGAGACAGAAUCACUCAGAAGAAGCACAAAAGCACUUAGAUGAUCAUAUAUUCUUCAGCCUCUUGGCUUGUGGAGUAUGAUGGGUAAUACUGACUGUCAACUUGACUGGAUUAAGAGAUACUGGCAGAUGAGUAAAGUGCACUUCCCAGUGUGUUGUGAGAGAGUCCUCACAUUAUUGGCAGGACUGCGAUCAUAAGGAGAGGAGGAGCUUGCACCCCAGCGGCAAACCCUCCCACUCAAAGUUCAUGCUUCAGCCAUCGUGUCCUUGGAAUCUAGUUCAAAGCUGAGGAGAGCGAACCAUGGCGCUGGGAACCAUUGGUGAGGUGGUUGGACAGAUUGAAGUGAAGUGUUUCAGCCAGAAUGUACUGACGCACGACCAGAAAACCGCAAGACUGGUGAAAACCUUGCCAAGCCAGAGCCCUGUGAUCAAAACAGGUACAGGAAAUGGCUUCCCCAAGAGUCCUGCUGCUGCUGGCCCGAACCCUGAGCUGCCGAGACUUUCUGAAUUCCCUGAGCAGACUGAACCAUUACUGAAGCAUUUUUCUGAGGCCGGGGAUAUAGCUCAGCAGGCGCUACGUCCUGAGUUCCAUUACCCAUACCCGCCCCGCGUCCCUCAAAGAGCCAAAAUAACCCUAAAGCGUUUUCUUGCCUUGUUCUGCGGUCGCUUCACUGGUCGCAGAAGAGUUGCUAUCUCUUUUUCUCUCCUUUCCUUCUUUCUGCGGAGAUUGCUGUCUGACUGCUCACUCUAACUUUUCAGAGCUCAUAGACUACAGGAUUUUUGCCUUUUGCAAACUGGCUAUUGUUUAGCGCUCAGGGCCUGAAUACAAACUCUCAAUAGGCUAGUCUUCCUUUUGUUUCCUUUAAAAUUUGAUUCAAACAGAAAUUGUAUUUAAUCUGUCCCAAAUAUGUAUCAUGUCUGGAUACAAAGUCAAAAAUAGCUUGCUCCUGUGAACUCUCUUUGCUUGGCCGGCGAAACUGCCAGUUGCCGUGCAAUAAAUCACAUUUUCAUACAGUUGAAACACUAAUAGCUGACUAGCAAGAUAUUCGGACCAUACUCUGAGAGCCAAAUGGUGGAGAACGUGGGCUGAGCAAUGAUUGCUUAGGAAGGGGACAUUUCUCCUGGAAAGACAACAGAAUAAUUCUGCACUGCUGAUUCUAUCAUAGGUACAAGCUCCCAUGUAUAGGCAAAUCCAGCAAGUGUCCUGAACUUGUCAUUUGCAUUCCUGCCUUGCACUGUGUGUCUCUAUUUUCAUUGUGAAACCCUGACUAGAUGACCCAUCAGUAUUACCUAUGUGGAAUAAAUCCAUGAUCCACUUCUUACCCACAUCUCAGCAAGGAUGAAGCAGCAACAGCUUUUUGGGGACAACAUCCUGAGUCUUAGCUUGGGUUUCAAUGAUUUUAGGAAAGGUGAAAAAUUCCAUGAUGAGAGGCCAUACACUUUCUGCAAAGAUGUGAAAGGUCCAGAUUUGACGCUGAGCUCAAGCAAUAGCAACAAUCAAAUGGAUUCUGAAUUUUUUUCCCUGAGACUUUCGUGUGCAGGAGAGACUUUGCGGCCACAUUGUGCUCUAGCACAUUUUCUGAUAGGCCUUUUUUUAGGAAGUGCUAUCUUUAUACUCUGCUGACACUAACAUUGGAAAAUAAAGUCUUUUUCACUCUCUCUCUUUCCUCUACUUUUGGCUUAGUUUAUCCUAUAAAAACACACUUCAAAAGGACUUUCUAGAAAGAAUGUUUCAAAAAUAUAAUAUUUCCAUCUGUUAUUUCAAUAAUACAUGUGUUGGGACUCUCUUUAUGAACCAUUUUCCUUUCUUUGCUCCCAUUUAGAAGUAUAAAUAUUUGAUUCUAAAACCUCGGAGGAAUAGUCAGCCAAUCAGGUCACUGAAUUGCGAACAUUCCUAACCUUAUAAUUUUGUCUGUAGCAGGCACCUCCUGCUGUGGAACUAACUGCUAAGGGAUCCCAGCAAUGUAAUCCUUGGACUGUUCAGUUCAAGGUUACUCUGAAGUGGAGGGAAGGAAGCAGCUUUAAUUUUGAUAAAAUAAACUUUAUUUUGUAACUUUAUUACUUGUUUUUCUUUCUCCUUUCAACACUUCAUAAUAGAUGUGUCUGGUAAUUUGAAGUUGCCUCCCUGGCUCAGGCGCCCCUGGGCCACCCCGUGUUCUUGUAGCUUUUUAAAAGGCAUAGCCACACAGACUCUGGUUGUCAUUCCAGCGUACAAAACCUGAGUUUUUUCCUGUCAUAAGCUGAACAAAGCAGUAUACUGACCCUUAUGAAAAAUAUACAAAUAAUAUUUUCCAAAUGGGUCGCAACAGAGGAUUCAUGGGCAUUUGCCAGCUAUAUAUAUUGGAAAUAUCAAAUCAUUUGCAAAAUUGUAAGUUACUUUUCUGCUUCUAGGCUUUUCUUUUUUAAAAUCAAACCUCUAUCUCAGGAAUUAUUGAGGCAACUGCAUGUAAGGCUACAAGAAAAAUUUAAUGGGAAUUCCCUUCUUGAUAUAAACUGCAACAAUUUCCCAGGAAUGAAAGAUUUUUAUGGAUGAAAUGUAAUAUAUUUUGAAUCAAGCCCAAAGAGAUCUUUUGCUGUGUGUGAAGAAUAAAGUAAAAUUCCAUUAAUAAAAUUUUAUGGCUGGAUGAGUGGGGAAAAAAUCUUUUCCAAGAUAAAAAUAUUUUCCUGUUGCUUCUUAUGUUAA